UUUAAUCCUUAUCGAAGAAUAGAAAAACUGUCGAAUUAAGCACCUACUUUGCUUUUUCUUCUGGUUAGCCAGCCUACCAAGUACCAACACCAUCCCUUAGCCCAUCGAUUCCACUUUCGGCUAUUCAAAUCCUUUUUCCGAUUUCGAUCAUCAGUUUUCCCAGAUUCAUCAAUCACUAAUUUUGUUUGAUUUACAGAUCAGUUUCAUCAGACUCUUCCUUCACAUUCAAGUGGUUUCCUCUUCUUCUUGCGUUUGCGUUUGAAUUCAGGGAUCAAUAUUCAAGUAAAAUGUUUACAAGGAUUUUCGGGAAACCUAAAGAAGGAACCACCAGUGCUGUGGCCACCUUAGACAAAUUGAGUGAGACACUUGAAAUGUUGGAGAAAAAGGAGCAGGUGCUUACGAAGAAGGCUGCUGCGGAGGUUGAAAAGGCCAAGGAGUUCACAAGAGCAAAGAACAAGCGUGCUGCCAUAACAUGUUUGAAGAGGAAGAGGCUAUAUGAACAACAAGUUGAGCAGCUUGGAAAUAUGCAGUUGCGAAUCCAUGAUCAGAUGAUAUUGCUUGAAGGGGCUAAAGCAACAACAGAAACUGUUGAUGCUUUAAGGUCUGGUGCCUCAGCUAUGAAAGCUAUGCAAAAAGCAACAAACAUUGAUAACGUUGAUAAAACUAUGGACGAGAUCAAUGAACAGACGGAAAACUUGAAAAUGAUACAGGAAGCUCUCUCAGCCCCAAUUGGUGCAGCGGCUGAUUUUGAUGAGGAUGAAUUAGAAGCAGAGCUUGAAGAGCUGGAAGGUGCUGAACUGGAGGAGCAACUUCUUCAGCCAGCUACAACUGCUCCUGCCGCACCAGUGCAUGUUCCAGCUGGAAGACAACCUGUACACCCUACACCUCAGAAGCAGACUGCUGAAGAGGAAGAGCUUGCUGCAUUGCAAGCUGAGAUGGCACUUUAGAAAGAUUUUGGUAUUGAAUGAAGCAUGUGCUCAGAGACUAGAAGAAAGGUAGCAGGAAGAUGGCAUAGUAUUCAGAGGAGGGUGUUGGACUAAUGUCAGUGUUGGAUACUAAUUAGCAGAAAUUUAGAAGUGAGUUUCUAUUUUUCGACGAUGAAAGACAGGAGUUGGUUCCGAUAGUCGACAUCGAUGUAGCUGUAUAAUGAAGCAUUUUUAUUAAUUGCUGUCAUGCUUUGUGAAGCUGAAGCACCUUUGCUGGCACGUAUUAGUCUUGGUUUUUUGGUAAUAAACUAUGCUCGUAUAGGUUUCUUGAUGUUGUUAAUAGACCGUAGUUACACUGGGAAUAUACUUUUAUUUUCAAUGUAAAUUUCUGUGAAAUGCAUAUCAUUCUCUAAUGAGCUGAACGUUGCUAUGAUGUAAAUCGUCGAAUACAAGUCAUCUCUGAUCAUGGCUUUCUGCACUUUAAAAUACGUUUCUUAUACUCAUUCUAAUCAAGUAUUCCCUCGUACACUUGGUGAUU